rnacentral:rRNA from 1 species
AACGAACGCUGGCGGCAGGCUUAACACAUGCAAGUCGAGCGCCCCGCAAGGGGAGCGGCAGACGGGUGAGUAACGCGUGGGAAUCUACCCAUCUCUACGGAAUAACGCAUGGAAACGUGUGCUAAUACCGUAUACGUCCUUCGGGAGAAAGAUUUAUCGGAGAUGGAUGAGCCCGCGUUGGAUUAGCUAGUUGGUGGGGUAAAGGCCUACCAAGGCGACGAUCCAGAGCUGGUCGGAGAGGAUGAUCAGCCACACUGGGACUGAGACACGGCCCAGACUCCUACGGGAGGCAGCAGCGGGGAAUAUUGGACAAUGGGCGCAAGCCUGAUCCAGCCAUGCCGCGUGAGUGAUGAAGGCCCUAGGGUUGUAAAGCUCUUUCACCGGUGAAGAUAAUGACGGUAACCGGAGAAGAAGCCCCGGCUAACUUCGUGCCAGCCGCCGCAGUAACAC